AGUGAACGCUGGCGGUAGGCCUAACACAUGCAAGUCGAACGGCAGCACAGUAAGAGCUUGCUCUUACGGGUGGCGAGUGGCGGACGGGUGAGGAAUACAUCGGAAUCUACUUUUUCGUGGGGGAUAACGUAGGGAAACUUACGCUAAUACCGCAUACGACCUACGGGUGAAAGUAGGGGAUCUUCGGACCUUGCGCGAUUGAAUGAGCCGAUGUCGGAUUAGCUAGUUGGCGGGGUAAAGGCCCACCAAGGCGACGAUCCGUAGCUGGUCUGAGAGGAUGAUCAGCCACACUGGAACUGAGACACGGUCCAGACUCCUACGGGAGGCAGCAGUGGGGAAUAUUGGACAAUGGGCGCAACCCUGAUCCAGCCAUACCGCGUGGGUGAAGAAGGCCUUCGGGUUGUAAAGCCCUUUUGUUGGGAAAGAAAAGCAGCAGGUUAAUACCCCGCUGUUCUGACGGUACCCAAAGAAUAAGCACCGGCUAACUUCGUG
rnacentral:rRNA from 1 species